rnacentral:lncRNA from 12 species
GACAGAUCAAGGAGAGAAAAACAAAUUAAAUAUCAUAAAUACAGGAGCCCUACAAAGACAUGUGAUUCAAAGACAGUUAAACAGUUGAGGCUUAUAUUUCAUCCAUAGCUAAGGAGAAGGGGAAAGAAGUCUGGGUGUCAAAGGGAAGAAGACAAUUCUUAGGAACAUAGAAAGAGCAAAUGUUUGGUAAACAAAUGUUUUCCAGGCCUUGCAGAGAAGUAUCUCCCUAUGUCUCUCUCUUUCUUUCUUUCUUUUGUUCAUUUUUUGUUUGUUUGUUUCUUCUUUUUUCAGAGAAGUCUUUCUUAUGCAAAACAAAACAAAACAAAAAAGCAAAAACGAGAAAGCUACAUGGGAGGUUCUUAGCCAAAGAUUCAGAGAUCCCAAUGGGCAGACAUGAUCAUUUUGGGCAAAGCUCAUCUGUAAAGCUUUUUAAAAAUAGUCUUCCCAUUCCUCCAUAGCCCAUAUCUCUGCACUGCUUCAAACUCAGGUAAUUUCCAUAGGUAAUUCUGAUAAGGCAUACCUGGUAUAACCAUCCACUGAUGACAUGGUGCCUGGGUGGAUUUCAAGUUUCAUGGACCAUGCUCUCCCUGCAAACAAUAAGCAGCAUUUUAAGCUAGUGAUUUUAGUUUCUGUAUAGAAUUAGAACAGUUAGAAAUUAGAUUAUCACAUGGGUCUACAACCUUUCUUCUGUUUAAGAAUCACUUAAAUAUACUAAUAAUACAAAUCCUAACAAAAGGUAUUUUUUUUUACUUUUCUCAUAAAAAAGGUAAUACAGUUCUCCUAGCUGUUAUCAACAAAACUUUCUAAGAGUACUUUUUAGAAAGAUGAAGCUUGAAAUUUACUUUUUUUUUUAAAAAAAAAAAGAUUACCUCAAUUUAGUAAUUAGGCAGUAAUUAAUAUCAAUCAUUAGUCACACACUCUUCUAUGAUACUGAGAACACAGGGCUGUCAUGGUCUUUAGGAACAUCCAGUACUGUAACUUUACUUCAGUUUAGUCAUAAUCCCCCUUGAUGUUUUGUUAGAACUCCAGUUGUUUUUUUUUUCUUUUUUUACAUUAUAAAAAAAUGUACUUGUAAAAUAAUUUUCUACUUCUUCUACUCCCAUUCCCCAGAGAUGGGCAGUAUGAAUAGUGUUGUGUGUAUCAGGCAAUUACGAAUAUAUUGAGUCGUGUGUGUGUGCGUGUGCGCGUGUGCAUGUGCAUGCGUGUGUGAGU